UACGGGGGGGGCAAGCGUUGUUCGGAAUUACUGGGCGUAAAGGGCUCGUAGGCGGCCAACUAAGUCAUAACGUGAAAUCCCUCGGCUUAACCGGGGAACUGCGUCUGAUACUGGAUGGCUUGAGUUCGGGAGAGGGAUGCGGAAUUCCAGGUGUAGCGGUGAAAUGCGUAGAUAUCUGGAGGAACACCGGUGGCGAAGGCGGAUCUCUGGGCCUUACCUGACGCUGAGACGCGAAAGCUAGGGGAGCGAACAGG
rnacentral:rRNA from 1 species